CGAUUUUCAAAGUGGGGAUGACGUGACGUUUUAUUGGCGAACGAUCCACUUGGCGGCCGAUCAAAGACCUGCACGGCCGUAUCCGUACGCACACCUAUCCGGGGAUCCGGUAUACGGUUAUUUUUAGACACGUGGUGUGCGAUACUAUACGACUCGUGAGCAGACGUACGGUCACGCGUGUAUACGGACGCGGAGAAACGAGGACAUUUAUAUGCGCGACGACGACGACGACGACGACCGCGGUAAACAUAUCGCGAAAGUGACGGUUUUUUAUUUUCUGUGCUUGCAUGUAUGCGUCUGUUGCGGUGCGUACGAGUGCGAUAGGCUAACCACGGUCUUUCUGUAACCGUCGGUUCAACACGUAUGUUCACGAAUUACUAUCUAAAGCGCCGCGUUUUUGACGGUUUCGCGAAAAAUGUUCAAAAUUAAAAACAAAAAAAACCAUAAUAACAAUUAUUUUGAAAUAAUAUAUCAAUUAUUAUAAAUUAUAUUUCGCGUUAUCCGACGGCGGCGGCGACUUUAGGUAUAAUAAUAUAG